UACGGAGGGAGCUAGCGUUAUUCGGAAUUACUGGGCGUAAAGCGCACGUAGGCGGCUUUGUAAGUAAGAGGUGAAAGCCCAGAGCUCAACUCUGGAAUUGCCUUUUAGACUGCAUCGCUUGAAUCAUGGAGAGGUCAGUGGAAUUCCGAGUGUAGAGGUGAAAUUCGUAGAUAUUCGGAAGAACACCAGUGGCGAAGGCGGCUGACUGGACAUGUAUUGACGCUGAGGUGCGAAAGCGUGGGGAGCAAAUAGG
rnacentral:rRNA from 1 species